GAAGAUGAAAUAGCAAGGCCCUAUAAAUAUGAGGGCCUGGCAAAAGAAUCAGAGAAUACAGAUAUCGAGAUGAAAACAAGGUUUGAAAUACCAAACCUUCAUUACUGAGCAUCCCGAAAACAAUAAUGCAAUCCCCCCUUUCUGAUAGAUCCUAAGGUCAAAUGGAAUGUCCUGUCUCACCCCCCAAUGUAUGGUUCAUCCCUCACCUGUAACCCUCCCCUGAAGUAUCCGAUGUCUGUAACCCCAUUGGCCCAAGUCCUGUCCCAGCCCACCUUGAAGCCCCCUGAUAAGGUGUGGCCGAGGGACCGGACGCUCUCUCUCUUGGACCUUCCUGCUGGGACACCCACCUGGCACCAUCUCUCCCCCCGCUCUCCCUGGGCCUGCCACGAGUUGCGGCUAGCAACUCUAAGCAAGGCCCUUCAUCCUUUACAAUAAACCCUAUGCUCUAAAGACCGGGCCUCAGAGAUCCUUCGUUACCACCCACCCACAUCGUCCUGGAGUCCAGCAAUCCCCGCAGAUUGGCGCCCAACGAGGAAGACCGACCCCCACAGACCGGCAACCCCACGUGUCUGAAGACCUCUUCAGCUUUUCUACCUGUGGGAGACUUCUCCAUGGACGCUCUGAGUGGAGUCUGGAGGCCCCGAGCACGGAAAGACGUUCCUGAGCGACGCCUGAAACCGGAGCUCUGAGGGGGACCUCAAGCAGAGUCCUGAGCGCCGACUGGAGUGCCUGGCCAGCCCCCCACGUCGGAGUUCUGAGUGAGGACCCUGCCCCUGCGAUAUCGAGGUGAGCUACACUGGUGUAAAAAUGGGACAAUCCCACUCUGCCCCUGAUCGGGAUCUCUAUAAGGAACUUAAGCAUUCUUUACGCUGCAGUAACAGUACUUUACCUAAGCAAGAGCUUAAAAACCUUUUAGAAUGGACUUUA